rnacentral:rRNA from 1 species
GACGAACGCUGGCGGCGCGCUUAACACAUGCAAGUCGAGCGAUGAAAUUUCGACAGAUCCCUUCGGGGUGAAGAUGAAAUGGAUUAGCGGCGGACGGGUGAGUAACACGUGAGUAACCUGCCUUAGGCAUUGGGAUAGCCUCGGGAAACCGGGAUUAAUACCAAAUGAAAUCACAUAUGCACAUGCAUAAAUGAUCAAAGCUCCGGCGGUCUAAGAUGGACUCGCGUCCCAUUAGCUAGUUGGUGAGGUAACGGCCCACCAAGGCGACGAUGGGUAGCCGGCCUGAGAGGGUGAACGGCCACAUUGGAACUGAGAAACGGUCCAAACUCCUACGGGAGGCAGCAGUGGGGAAUAUUGCACAAUGGAGGGAACUCUGAUGCAGCGACGCCGCGUGAACGAAGAAGGCUUUCGAGUCGUAAAGUUCUUUUAUAUGGGAAGAUAAUGACGGUACCAUAAGAAAAAGCCCCGGCUAACUACGUGCCAGCAGCCGCGGUAAUACGUAGGGGGCUAGCGUUGUCCGGAAUCACUGGGCGUAAAGGGUUCGCAGGCGGAAAUGCAAGUCAGGUGUAAAAGGCAGUAGCUUAACUACUGUAAGCAUUUGAAACUGCAUAUCUUGAGAAGAGUAGAGGUAAGUGGAAUUUUUAGUGUAGCGGUGAAAUGCGUAGAUAUUAAAAAGAAUACCGGUGGCGAAGGCGACUUACUGGGCUCAUUCUGACGCUGAGGAACGAAAGCGUGGGUAGCAAACAGG